ensembl:piRNA 21ur-10948 ncRNA
UUGAUCCAUAAAAAUAGGAUA